rnacentral:rRNA from 1 species
AGAGUUGAUCCUGGCUAGGACGAACGCUGGCGGCGUGCCUAACACAUGCAAGUCGAGCGAGGAGAUCCUUCGGGAUGAUCCUAGCGGCGGACGGGUGAGUAACACGUGGGCAACCUGCCUCAUAGAGAGGAAUAGCCUUCCGAAAGGGAGAUUAAUACCUCAUAACAUUGCAGUUUCGCAUGGAACAGCAAUUAAAGGAGCAAUCCGCUAUGAGAUGGGCCCGCGGCGCAUUAGCUAGUUGGUGAGGUAACGGCUCACCAAGGCGACGAUGCGUAGCCGACCUGAGAGGGCGAUCGGCCACAUUGGGACUGAGACACGGCCCAGACUCCUACGGGAGGCAGCAGUGGGGAAUAUUGCACAAUGGGGGAAACCCUGAUGCAAGCAACGCCGCGUGAGUGAUGACGGCCUUCGGGUUGUAAAGCUCUGUCUUCAGGGACGAUAAUGACGGUACCUGAGGAGGAAGCCACGGCUAACUACGUGCCAGCAGCGGC